rnacentral:misc_RNA from 1 species
GAAAAAAAAAAAAGCAAGACACGACGAGUCGUUCACAACCUACAAGUUGCCAUUUUGAGAUUUCUCUUGCCCUAAUUUCCUUCUGUGUUUCCCAAUUACCAGUCAAGCUUCAACUCCCAUCUAGCUUUUCUUUUAAUUCGGUUCACUCAGUCUCCGGUAGUUUAAGGUGUCACUCUUCUACUCCUCUCCCUUUCAUUUUGAUUAUGAAGAGUAGAUGUGAAUUUGAUGAUUGGGCUUUAUAAAUUCAUGAUUUGUUGAAGCUUUGAGCUUAUUCAUUUGUUGAUUCCUAAUGCUUCUUGCCAUUGCUUGUUUAAUGAUCCAAAUUUGACCCUUUUAUGGAUAAUUUUGGCCGGUCUAAUGAGGAUCUGGUGAAAUGGGAUUCCAAGUUACUGAGAACUUGCUGCAUUGCUUAUUUAUUUAUUUAUUUUGGAUAUAUACAUGUAAAGAUGGGUUCUUUUAGCUAUUCCACAUUUGUUGAUUCCAUAUCUGGUAUCUGCUAUUUAGUUUUGGUUUAGAUUUAUUGCUUUUAUUUUGAGUAGAUUGUGUGUGGAAUUGGAUCAGAGGCUGAGCUAAAGAGAAAGAAAAGGAGUGAUUUAUAUAUUUAAAGGAGGGAAAAUGGCUGCCUUCAUCAAUCUACAGGAUUCCCCAAUGUUCCAGAAGGAGAUAUGUUCUCUUGAACAGAUAGCCGAGGAGUUGAAUGAUCGCUGCCAACAACUGUAUAAAGGGUGUAAGAGGUUUAUGGUAGCUCUUGGAGAUGCAUGCAGUGCAGACACCACUUUUGCUGAUUCCUUGGAAGCAUUUGGUGGUGGACAAGAUGACCCUGUUAGUGUAUCUAUAGGAGGCCCUGUCAUAUCCAAGUUCAUCAAUGCAUUUCGUGAGCUUUCUACAUAUAAAGAGCUUCUCCGUUCUCAAGUAGAGCACGUAUUAAUUGAUCGACUUGUGCACUUUAUGGAUGUUGAUCUACAAGAUGCUAAGGAGUCUCGCAAGCGCUUUGACAAAGCCUUUUAUGCUUAUGAUCAGUCACGUGAAAAGUUUGCAUCUUUGAAGAAAAAUACUCGUGGAGACAUUAUUGAAGAACUAGAAGAGGGUUUGCAGAAUUCCAAGUCAGCAUUCGAGAGAAGCCGCUUUAAUCUGGUUAGCGCACUCAUGAAUAUUGAAACGAAAAAGAAGUAUGAGUUCUUGGAAUCUAUAAGUGCAAUUAUGGAUGCUCACCUGAGAUAUUUUAAGCUGGGGUAUGACUUAUUUAGCCAAAUGGAGCCAUUUAUUCACCAGGUAUUAACAUAUGCUCAACAAUCAAAAGAGCUAUCUAAUAUUGAACAAGAUAAACUUGCAAAACGGAUUCAGGAAUUCAGGACCCAGGCUGAGUUAAACAGUAAUCUUGCUUCUAGCAAUAUAGAACCCUCAACAAGUGCUGAUGGUAUUCGUGUUGUUGGUAUGAGCUCUAAUAAAAACAUAGAAGCAAUUAUGCAGUCCACUUCAAAUGGAGAAGUCUUGACUAUCAAACAAGGAUAUCUGCUAAAGCGAUCUUCUAGUUUGAGGGGAGAUUGGAAGAGAAGGUUCUUUAUUCUGGACAGUCGAGGAAGUUUGUACUAUUACCGAAAUAAGGGCGUGAAGCCUAUGAGCUUCCAGCAUCUCUCAACUGCCUCAGUUGAACACAAUACUAGCGUCUUUGCUAUAUUUCGUUCAAGGCACAGCAGGGCAUCAUCAAUUAGUGAAGGAAGUCUAGGUUGCCGUAUUAUUGAUCUUCGUACUUCAACAAUAAAGAUGGAUGCAGAAGACACAGAUUUGCGGCUAUGCUUCAGAAUAAUUUCCCCGUUGAAAAUGUACACAUUGCAGGCUGAAAAUGGAGCAGAUAGAAUGGAUUGGGUAAACAAAAUUACAGGAGUAAUUGCAUCUCUUUUUAACAUUCAUUUCCUGCAACAGCCACAUCCAAGAACGAAAAAUCUGGAACAUAGUGUGUGUACAAUUGGUACUUCAUGUGCUGUUGAACAAGUAGAUAGUCAUCAACAUUUAGAAGCUGACAUGAACAUUAAUAAAGCUGAUUGUGCUUCUUGGAUUCUUAGAGAAAUUCCAGGAAAUGAUUUUUGUGCUGAGUGCAGUGCUCCUGAACCUGAUUGGGCAUCCCUUAAUCUCGGUAUAUUGUUGUGCAUCGAGUGCUCUGGUGUUCAUCGGAAUCUUGGCGUUCAUAUUUCUAAGGUGAGAUCUCUAACAUUAGACGUCAAGGUUUGGGAACCUACAGUCUUGGACUUAUUUCACUCUCUUGGUAAUGCUUAUUGCAACUCCAUUUGGGAAGGAUUGCUUUUAGUAAAGAACGAAAGAGUGGACAAAUCAAAUUUUAUUGCAUCAUUAAUUGAAAAACCAGGUCCAAGAGAUGCCAUUUGCUAUAAAGAGAAGUAUAUUCAGGCAAAGUAUGUGGGAAAAUUGCUAGUCAUCAGAGAAGCAAGUGAAUCUGGCAUUUUCUCUCACAAAUCCAGGCUAUGGCAAGCCGUCAAGACAAACAAUUUGCGAGAAGUAUAUCGUUAUAUUGUGAUUUCAGACGCAAACAUUGUUAAUACCAACUUUGAUGAAGUUGUUGGCAUUGAAUCAUUUCACCAUAUCGAUGAGAGAGAAAAUUCUGAGUUCGGUUCUCAUCCAGCAGAAAUGAAAGAGUACGAUCCAGCAAGCUGCCAGAGAAUCAAUGAUUCCAAGGAUCCAGGGAAUUGUCUUCAAGGUUGUUCAUUGAUGCAUCUAGCAUGUCACUAUGGCAACCCAGUAAUGCUUGAACUGUUGCUGCAGUUUGGUGGUGAUGUGAACUUGGGCGACUUCCAUGGAAGAACUCCUUUGCACCAUUGUAUUUCUAAAAGGGACUAUCCAAUGGCAAAGUUUCUGCUUCGAAGAGGUGCCUCCCCAACAGUAAGAGAUGGUGGCGGACUAAGUGUACUGGAAAGGGCAAUGGAGAUGGGAGCUAUAACAGAUGAGGAAUUAUUUGUCAUGCUAGCUGAUAGGCAGUGAAAUGGACAAACGAAAUGAUUAACCUGUUCAGUGCCUCUUGUGUUGGUCACCAAUCAUCGUCAUCUUGAAGAAAACCUGUUACCUGUCUCAAUCUUUUAAAAUUAGGAAAUUUCCAAGUGAUCCAAAUUCUUUGCGAAUAUAUGUAGUGUUUAUCAAAAUUUUUAUUUCAUGUUGUAAAAUGAAUUCUGGGAUUGUCAUCAUUCUGCUAGCGUGAAUUCCUUUACACCAAAGCUCUGCUGAAACAGAUGACAUGCUUUAUGUAAAAUAACAAUUUUUUUGGGGGGUUACAUUUUUAAAGUAACACUUUGAUCUUCUUGUUUGUGCAAAGUGUCAGAGGACGUUGGCAUGUAUUGAAAUCCCACAUUGGGUGUGUCCUUGGAGAUACAGGCUAUAUAUUUUAAGGACAAAACUGUAAAGUUGGCUAUGUUAGCCAUGUAUCCAACCAUUAAUACGAAGAACUUGUGCGCUUGACAAGAUGAACAAUUUCUUUAGGAAUUUGUAUGUACUAGGCUUGUUAUCAAAAUUUGUAUUUUAUCUAAUUGAAUAAAGAUAUGAAUAUAUAACUUUUUUUAUAUAUUUACUAUGUAGCUAGUUUUUAC